AGAAUUUGAUCUUAGUUCAGAUUGAAUGCUGACGGCGUGGAUGAGGCAUGCAAGUCGAACGAAACUGUGGGGCAACCUGCAGUUGAGUGGCGGAAGGGUUAGUAAUACAUGGGUAACCUACCUUUGACCUGGGGAUAACGGUUGGAAACGACCGCUAAUACCGAAUGAGGUGGCGAUAGGCAUCUAUCGCAUAUGAAAGUUGGGGAUCGUAAGACCUAGCGGUGAAAGAGGGGCCCAUGGGAUAUCAGCUUGUUGGUGUGGUAAAAGCGCACCAAGGCAAAGACGUCUAGGCGGAUUGAGAGAUUGACCGCCAACAUUGGGACUGAGACACUGCCCAAACUCCUACGGGAGGCUGCAGUCGAGAAUCAUUCGCAAUGGGCGAAAGCCUGACGAUGCGACGCCGUGUGAACGAAGAAGGCCUUCGGGUUGUAAAGUUCUUUCGCCUGGGAACAAGAGAAGGUGGCAAAUAGUCAUCUGAUUUGAGGGUACUAGGUAAAGAAGCACCGGCUAACUCCGUGCCAGCAGCUGCGGUAAUACGGAGGGUGCAAGCAUUAAUCGGAUUUAUUGGGCGUAAAGGGCGCGUAGGCGUCCAUGUAAGUUAGGUGUGAAAUUCCGGGACUCAAUUCCGGAGCUGCACUUAAAACUACAUGGAUGGAGGAUAAGCGGAGUCAAUGGAAUUCCACGUGUAGCGGUGAAAUGCGUAGAUAUGUGGAGGAACACCGGUGGCGAAGGCGAUUGACUAGUUUAUAACUGACGCUGAGGCGCGAAAGCAAGGGUAGCAAACAGGAUUAGAUACCCUGGUAGUCCUUGCCGUAAACGAUGCAUACUUGGUGUGGUUGGGCUCAACCCCGACCGUGUCGAAGCUCACGCGAUAAGUAUGCCGCCUGAGGAGUACGCUCGCAAGGGUGAAACUCAAAAGAAUUGACGGGGACCCGCACAAGCAGUGGAGCAUGUGGUUUAAUUCGAUGCAACGCGAAGAACCUUACCCAGGCUCGAAAUGCAAAGGACGUGACCUGAAAGGGUCAUUCCCGUAAGGGUCUUUGUAUAGGUGCUGCAUGGCUGUCGUCAGCUCGUGCCGUGAGGUGUUGGGUUAAGUCCCGCAACGAGCGCAACCCUUAUUGUUAGUUGCCAACAUUUCGGAUGGGAACUCUAACGAGACUGCCUGGGUGAACCAGGAGGAAGGUGAGGAUGACGUCAAGUCCGCAUGGCCCUUAUGUCUGGGGCUACACACGUGCUACAAUGGUCGGUACAGAAGGCGGCGAAGCUGUAAAGUGGAGCAAAUCCUAGAAAACCGAUCCCAGUUCAGAUUGCAGUCUGCAAUUCGACUGCAUGAAGAUGGAAUUGCUAGUAAUGGCGUGUCAGCAACAACGCCGUGAAUACGUUCUCGGGUCUUGUACACACCGCCCGUCACAUCAUGGAAGUUGGUUUCGCUCGAAGUCGCUGUCCUAACCGUAAGGAAGGAGGCGCCUAAAGUGAGGCCGAUGACUGGGAUGAAGUCGUAACAAGGUA
rnacentral:rRNA from 1 species